ensembl:misc_RNA Y_RNA Y RNA
AGCUGGUCCAAAGGUAGUGGCUUAUCUCAAGUGAUGGUUCAUGGUUCCAACUUCUUGUUCUACUCUUGCCCCCUUCUCUUCACUGCUGCACCUGACUAGUCUUUA